rnacentral:rRNA from 1 species
UACAGAGGAGCCAAGCGUUGUCCGGAUUGACUGGGCGUAAAGCGCACGCAGGCGGACGCGCGCGUGGGGUGUGAAAUCUGGCCGCUUAACGGCCAGGCGCCAUCCCAUACGGCGCGUCUGGAGUGAUGCAGAGGUCGAUGGAAUUGCCGGUGUAGUGGUGAAAUGCGUAGAGAUCGGCAGGAACACCCAGGGGGAAACCAGUCGACUGGGCAUCUACUGACGCUGAGGUGCGAGAGCAUGGGGAGCGAACCGG